rnacentral:lncRNA from 1 species
AGAUCAAGCACGCAGUAGUGGUGAAAGUUAUGGGAAGAACUGGAUCAAGAGGUCAGGUGACCCAAGUGAGAGUGAAGUUUCUUGAUGAUCAGAAUCGUUUUAUCAUGAGAAACGUCAAGGGACCCGUCAGAGAAGGUGAUGUUCUUACCUUGCUAGAGUCCGAGAGGGAGGCAAGAAGGUUGCGUUGAUUUUUUUUUUUGACUUAUUUUUCAUAUUCGUAAGCCCUCUUCGUUUUGAUUUCGAUGUAUUGUGAGACUCGGUUUUGAAAGUUGUUUGAGUGAAAUGAUUUGGUGAAUGUUAAGUGUUAUUCUAUUUGAAUUUAGAAGUAAACUUUUGAGUUUUGAUAUACCUUGUUAGGGUUGCAUAUUUUGAAUGGAGAAUUCAUCAAUUGCCUAUAGAAGUUCUUAUGGUAUUCUAGAUAGCUUUUUUUUUAUUGGAAUGAAUAAAACUCAUGUAGGUAUUUUUUUAGUUGCUUACAUUUUUAUAAUUUAGGAUAAAAGCCUAUAUGUAGAUUUUGAGCGACUUGUUGAAAAUCUUCGUAGUAGUGGUUGGUUUAAGGAGAAAUUUAUUGAAAUUCCAAGUUAGUUGAAUGAGGUAACUAAAGCAUAAUCCUAGUGAAUAUAGUGCUCCAAAGCCAAUAGAAGGGAACGACUGCAAUUCUAUGUUUAUAUCGUUUUUGUUUUAUAAAUGAAAAUGAAAAGUUUGUUUUUGGAUGACAAUGGCCUUGGCAUGAAAAUUGCCGAUUUGUAGUUUUACUUCAAAAUCAUCUGGUUUUAUAAAUGAUUUAUGUUUACCAUUAUAGUGUCUUACCCUAAACUUACAGGCUUUUGUCUGCAAUUAGAAUUUUAUUUGAUUAUCCUUGAUUUUAUUUAUUGUUCUACUUAAAUACCUUCAAUUUAGAUAUUGUUUUAUUUUAAUAUGUUUAGUAUGGAAAAUAUAAAAAAGUAAACUACAUAAAUCAUUUGGAGGGUGUUUGGGAGUGAUUUUUUAACUAGAAAAGUGAUUUUAGAUAAAAGUGCUUAUUUGCUUAUAGUGGUGGUAAAAAAAGUUUUUUAAAAAGUGUUUGGAUUGACUUAAAAAGUGUUUUUUGAAGUUAUUUUGGCUGAAAGCCAUAAGCAGUUUCAAAAAGCCACGUAUUAAAAUAGUUUGCCAAACACUUAUUUUUGACUUAUUAGCUUUUCAAAAAGCCAAUAAGCAAAUAAGCAUUUUUCAAACGCAAUCCCAAACGCCCCUUUGGUUUUGCCUAACUUACAGGCUUUUGUCUUUGUCCCUAUCAAGAUUUUUUCACUCGGAUAAUAUAAGCUGUUUUAUUUUGUUUUGAUUUCGGUGUUGAAAGGACUAUUUUGCAUUUUAUAUAUAUUUAUAAAGUUACAAGGUUGAAUUUUAAGAACUUUUGGCGAUAAUGGUGGAAGUCCAAAAGUUUUGGAAGUUAUCAAGUUACAAGGUUGAAUUUUAAGAACUUUUGGCGAUUACAAUAUAAAUAUGAUAUAAAAUUAUGUAGUAUGAUCAGAAUCGUUUUAUCAUGAGAAACGUCAAGGGACCCGUCAGAGAAGGUGAUGUUCUUACCUUGCUCGAGUCCGAGAGGGAGGCAAGAAGGUUGCGUUGAUUUUUUUUUUUUUUUUUUGACUUAUUCGUAAGCCCUCUUCGUUUUGAUUUCGAUGUAUUGUGAGACUCGGUUUUGAAAGUUGUUUGAGUGAAAUGAUUUGGUGAAUGUUAAGUGUUAUUCUAUUUGAAUUUAGAAGUAAACUUUUGAGUUUUGAUAUACCUUGUUAGGGUUGCAUAUUUUGAAUGGAGAAUUCAUCAAUUGCCUAUAGAAGUUCUUAUGGUAUUCUAGAUAGCUUUUUUUUUUAUUGGAAUGAAUAAAACUCAUGUAGGUAUUUGUUUAGUUGCUUACAUUUUUAUAAAUAAGGAUAAAAGCCUAUAUGUAGAUUUUGAGCGACUUGUUGAA